GAUGAACGCUGGCUACAGGCUUAACACAUGCAAGUCGAGGGGAAACGACGGGGAAGCUUGCUUCCCCGGGCGUCGACCGGCGCACGGGUGAGUAACGCGUAUCCAACCUGCCUCUGACUGAGGGAUAACCCGUCGAAAGUCGGCCUAAUACCUCAUGGCAUCGUCUGCGGGCAUCCAACGACGAUUAAAGAUUUCAUCGGUCAGAGAUGGGGAUGCGUCUGAUUAGCUUGUUGGCGGGGUAACGGCCCACCAAGGCGACGAUCAGUAGGGGUUCUGAGAGGAAGGUCCCCCACAUUGGAACUGAGACACGGUCCAAACUCCUACGGGAGGCAGCAGUGAGGAAUAUUGGUCAAUGGGCGAGAGCCUGAACCAGCCAAGUAGCGUGCAGGAUGACGGCCCUAUGGGUGGUAAACUGCUUUUAUGCGGGGAUAAAGUGAGGGACGUGUCCUUCAUUGCAGGUACCGCAUGAAUAAGAACCGGCUAAUUCCGUG
rnacentral:rRNA from 1 species